rnacentral:lncRNA from 1 species
CACAGUGUUCUACACAUAUAUUCUCGCGUGUGUAUGUAUAUUUAUAUGCUUUCCUACAAUUUUAAUAUGAAUAUUUAUGUUAGGGAUAUGAUUUGACAAAACUGACAUCGAAUUAAAAUAAAACACAAUAAUAGAAGACCACAUAAGAUUUAUAUAUCAAAACUAUUUAUUCAAAUCUCUUGGUAAAUUUCAUUUUGCAUCGAAGUUGAUAUAGAACACUGGCUCACGGCAAUUGCACAAAACGAGCGGAGAUCGGAUUUUGGGGAAUAUGGCAGCCACGGCCGUCUUUGCAUUUGAGAUAGGUUUCAAAGAAAGGGUCACCCCCUAAGUCGGUCAACAAUAGCAUAAAUUAUUUUGGCAGGGUGGAUCACUUCGAUAGCAUGGGCAUGACUCCCACUUUUUGCCAUCUAUCUGGUCGGUAUCUUGAGCUGCAUACACAAAUUUAGGAGCUUAGGUUAACUUAUUCUCUUGUUUAUUGACAACAAAUUAAUUUGAAACAACCAAGUUUACUAUUAGAGUUACUUAAAUUGUUCAUAGUGCACUUACAUUGCGUAAGAACGGCGAUACAUCCGAAGAUAAUCACCGCAAAGACCACCAUCCUUCUCCCCGCCAUCAUAAACUUCCACAUACAACUUGAGUAUCUCUCUCUGUCUCUCUCUCUCUCUAUUCGGUGAUUGUUUUUGUCUGUCUUACU